rnacentral:rRNA from 1 species
GGAUUAGAUACCCUGGUAGUCCACGCCGUAAACGAUGGACGCUCGGCGUUUGCGGACUAUCAACGUCCGUGAGCGCCUCAGCUAACGCGGUAAGCGUCCCGCCUGGGAACUACGGCCGCAAGGCUAAAACUCAAAGGAAUUGACGGGGGCCCGCACAAGCAGCGGAGCGUGUGGUUUAAUUCGAAGCAACGCGAAGAACCUUACCAGCCCUUGACAUCGGGGUCGCGGUUUCCAGAGAUGGAUUCCUUCAGUUCGGCUGGACCCCAGACAGGUGUUGCAUGGCUGUCGUCAGCUCGUGUCG